CGGUUGAUCCUGCCGGACCCUACCGCUAUCGGGGUGGGACUAAAACAUGCAAGUCGAGCGUCUCCCAAUUGUGGAGGCGCGGCGCAAGACUCAGUACCACGUGGCCACCCUGUCCUUGGGACGGAGAUAGCCCCGGGAAACUGGGGGAUCCCCGAUGGGUGAAGAACCCUGGAAUGGUUCUUCACCGAAAGGGCGUUAGAGGCAUGCUCUCUAACGCCGCCCAAGGACGGGGCCGCGUCCGAUCAGGUUGUUGGUGAGGUAACGGCUUACCAAGCCUAUAACCGGUACGGGCCGUGAGAGCGGAAGCCCGGAGAUGGGCACUGAGAUAAGGGCCCAGGCCCUACGGGGCGCAGCAGUUGCGAAAACUCGCCAACGCACGAAAGUGUGAGCGGGCUACCCCGAGUGCCGUCCGCUGAGGAUGGCUUUUCUCUGCUGUAAGGAGGCGGAGGAAUAAGGAGAGGGCAAGACUGGUGUCAGCCGCCGCGGUAAUACCAGCUCUCCGAGUGGUAGGGGUGAUUAUUGGGCUUAAAGCGUCCGUAGCCGGCCUAGCAAGUCUUUCGUUAAAUCCAGCAACCUAAUUGUUGGGCUGCGGAGGAUACUGUUAGGCUAGAGGGCGGGAGAGGUCGACGGUAUUCUCGGGGUAGGGGUGAAAUCUUAUAAUCCCGGGAGGACCACCAGUGGCGAAGGCUGUCGGCUAGCACGCGCCUGACGGUGAGGGACGAAAGCUGGGGGAGCGAACCGGAUUAGAUACCCGGGUAGUCCCAGCUGUAAACGAUGCGGGCUAGGUGUUGGGGCGGCUACGAGCCGCUCCAGUGCCGCAGCGAAGGCGUUAAGCCCGCCGCCUGGGGAGUACGGUCGCAAGGCUGAAACUUAAAGGAAUUGGCGGGGGAGCAC
rnacentral:rRNA from 1 species